GUUUAAAGGAAUGCUGUUUCAGGACAUUUUUGACAAACAAUAAAGUUUAUGUACAUUCACUUACAGGUGUGAGUAACAUGGACCAAAGUUACAUUUCUUUGAAGAUUCUGGAGCUGUCAACAUUAAUACUCACGUUUUUGGCGGGAUUUGCAACUUCAGCAGUCCUCUUCUCUGUGGUGUUGUGUUGUCAGGAGAAACACAAAAGAGACACGACAUAUGAAGUGAUGGACACAAAGACAGAAUCUACUGUUAUUUUGGAGGUUUAUCAAGAAGAAAGACCUGAGAAAAAGUGGAAAUAAUCAUUAUAGGGCAAUCCAUAAAAUAGCAUUUGAUUACAUUUAGCAGGUUCUGAGUUUUUAUUAUUAUUAUGAAUGUACAGCACAUUAUAACAAGCAAAUAGAGAAUUGCUUUGUGUCAGAUAUACUGUGAAAAACAAAUGUAAUGUUAAGAAACAUAUGAAUAAGCUUUUGUUUAGUAUUUUUAGAAUGUGUUAACAGUUAGAAGUGUUAAGCACCUGAGGCUAUCCCAUAUUGUGAAUACAGUCACAUCUAAAGGGGUCACAGGAAGAUUUUUAGUUGACAACAAUCACAAUGUAGCACAGACUCUCAUCACAAACUAAUGUUAAUGUAACUGAACUGGUAAAGCUUAAUGUUUGCAAGGUUAAGUGUUACAUAAACACACUUGAAUGUACUAUAGUUAUUUUUGCGUAUGUUAAACUUGUAAUAAAUAACUGUAACUUUGUCAAA